UAAAAAGCCAAAGCUGCACAGGAAGUAAAAAUCGAUGAAAUAAACAAAACAAAGAAAGCAAGACCGUUUUUAUCAUCGUAAGGCAAAUUUACCUAUCACGAUAAGCAUGAAGAUGCAAAUGAGUAUUGAAGUAUUACAAUCCAUUUGCUUCUUGCUGACGAGGAUUGAGAAACACCAGACUAAGAAAACGAAUGCUGCGAAAAACAGGGCCUGUCUGACAACUUCGCCAACUGUCCACAACAUGAGCAUACGCCAAGAUUCCUACGUGCGAAAACGAUUGGAAAGUUUGAAUCUGCAACCAAAACGUAACACAUGAAUGGACAAUACUGACCUUCACCGCGCCAAUGAACAGGAGCAGACACAGUAAAAAAUAGAGUGAAUUGAGUACAAUACUCGCAAUUAUCACGUUACGCAUGGCUGCAAAACCAACAAUGGAACACAGUUUAUUACAUGGUACGUGCAUUUAUUGGGUUAAUAGUUUUUACCCGUCGCACCCGGCGUUUCACUCGUAAUAUUUGAGGUUGACAGGUCGUUGGCGGGCCCGUCACGUACGAUGGAAUCCAAUAACGGUAUAAAAUUUUUAUUGAAGUAAGCCAGUAGAAAACUCAGCCCAAGCAAAACAAACCCAGUGAAAAGCUAGGUGGCGAUUAACAAACUACCUGUACGCGGACUGCAACAGCAGCACGAUCGCAUUACGACCAUUUUCCUUUGAAUAAAUUUCAAUCAAAUGACCGUCCAACUGAUACCUACAAAGCUGUGCGGCGAAAUGCGUAUUACGUAGUUUGGUAAGGUACAUAAGACUGCUGUAGCAGGCAAGUGACAUAUGAUCGAUGGCAUAAGCAUAUACGCUAGAGAAGGUGUUAGCAGCAAACGUCACAUUUAGUUACGG